rnacentral:rRNA from 1 species
UACAGGGGGGGCAAGGCGUUGUUCGGAAUUACUGGGCGUAAAGGGCUCGUAGGCGGCCAACUAAGUCAGAUGUGAAAUCCCCAGGCCUUAACCUGGGAACUGCAUCUGAUACUGGAUGGCUUGAAUCCGGGAGAGGGAUGCAGAAUUCCAGGUGUAGCGGUGAAAUGCGUAGAUAUCUGGAGGAAUACCGGUGGCGAAGGCGGCAUCCUGGACCGGCAUUGACGCUGAGGAGCGAAAGCUAGGGGAGCAAACGGG